ACUAGUAAUCGCAGAUCAGAAUGCUGCGGUGAAUGCGUUCCCGGGUCUUGUACACACCGCCCGUCACACCAUGAGAGUUGGGAAUACCCGAAGCCUGUGAGCUAAUGUAAGGAGGCAGCAGUCGAAGGUAGAAUCAAUGAUUGGGGUGAAGUCGUAACAAGGUAAC
rnacentral:rRNA from 1 species